rnacentral:rRNA from 1 species
AGUGGAUGGGGAGCAACAAAAGUUGUGUGUGUGUAAAGGUAGUGCCAAGAAAAGCUGAGUUGAUGUUGAACAAAAGAUUCCGGUACCCGAAACCGACACAGGUAGGCAAGUAGAGGAUACUAAGGGGCGCGAGGUAACUCUCUCCAAGGAACUCGGCAAAAUGACCCCGUAACUUCGGGAGAAGGGGUGCCACCGAGAGGUGGUCGCAGUGAAGAGUCCCAGGCGACUGUUUAGCAAAAACAUAGGUCUCUGCAAACUCGAAAGAGGAGGUAUAGGGGCUGACGCCUGCCCAGUGCCGGAAGGUUAAAGAAGUUGGUCAGUCGAAAGAUGAAGCUAGCGACUGAAGCCCCGGUGAACGGCGGCCGUAACUAUAACGGUCCUAAGGUAGCGAAAUUCCUUGUCGGGUAAGUUCCGACCCGCACGAAAGGCGUAACGAUCUGGGAGCUGUCUCGGAGAGAGGCUCGCCGAAAUAGGAUUGUCUGUGAAGAUACGGACUACCUGCAUUUGGACAGAAAGACCCUAUGAAGCUUUACUGUAGCUUGGAAUUGUGUUCGGGCUUGCUGUGCGCAGGAUAGGUGGGAGGCUAUGAAGGUAUGCUUGUGGGUGUACUGGAGCCGUCAGUGAGAUACCACUCUCAGGGGGCUAGAAUUCUAACUAAAGAAAGGACAGUUUCAGGUGGGCAGUUUGACUGGGGCGGUCGCCUCCAAAAAGGUAACGGAGGCGUACAAAGGUUCCUUCAGACUGGUUGGAAAUCAGUCGUAGAGUGCAAAGGCAGAAAGGAGCUUGACUGCGAGAAUUACAGUUCGAGCAGGGUGGAAACACGGUCUUAGUGAUCCGACGGUGCUGUGUGGAAGGGCCGUCGCUCAACGGAUAAAAGUUACUCUAGGAUAACAGGCUGAUCUCCCCCAAGAGUUCACAUCGACGGGGAGGUUUGGCACCUCGAUGUCGGCUCAUCGCAACCUGGGGCGGAAGUACGUCCCAAGGGUUGGGCUGUUCGCCCAUUAAAGCGGUACGUGAGCUGGGUUCAGAACGUCGUGAGACAGUUCGGUCCAUAUCCGAUGUAGGCGAGAGAAUAUUGAGAGGAGCCUUCCUUAGUACGAGAGGACCGGGAAGGACGCACCGCUGGUGUACCUGUUAUGAUGCCAAUUGUAAACGCAGGGUAGCCAAGUGCGGAGAGGAUAACCGCUGAAAGCAUCUAAGUGGGAAGCCCACCUCAAGAUGAGUAUUCUGUGUUAAGGUCACGGGAAGACGACCCGUAAAUAGGCACGAGGUGGAAGUGCAGUAAUGUAUGAAGCCGAAGUGUACUAAUAGACCGUCA